rnacentral:rRNA from 1 species
UACGGAGGGUGCAAGCGUUAAUCGGAAUUACUGGGCGUAAAGCGUGCGCAGGCGGUUCUAUAAGACAGAUGUGAAAUCCCCGGGCUCAACCUGGGAACUGCAUUUGUGACUGUAGAGCUGGAGUACGGUAGAGGGGGAUGGAAUUCCGCGUGUAGCAGUGAAAUGCGUAGAUAUGCGGAGGAACACCGAUGGCGAAGGCAAUCCCCUGGACCUGUACUGACGCUCAUGCACGAAAGCGUGGGGAGCAAACAGG